AGUGGAUGGGGAGCAACCUAGUUGUGCGUGUGUAAAGGUAGUGCCAAGAAAAGCGAUGAUCAUGUUGAAAAUCAAUUCCCGGUACCCGAAACCGACACAGGUGGGCAAGUAGAGAAUACUAAGGGGCGCGAGGUAACUCUCUCCAAGGAACUCGGCAAAAUGACCCCGUAACUUAGGGAGAAGGGGUGCCACCGAGAGGUGGUCGCAGUGAAGAGGCCCAGGCGACUGUUUAGCAAAAACAUAGGUCUCUGCAAACUCGAAAGAGGAGGUAUAGGGGCUGACGCCUGCCCAGUGCCGGAAGGUUAAAGAAGUUGGUCAGUUUUAGGAUGAAGCUAGCGACUGAAGCCCCGGUGAACGGCGGCCGUAACUAUAACGGUCCUAGGUAGCGAAAUUCCUUGUCGGGUAAGUUCCGACCCGCACGAAAGGCAUAACGAUCUGGGCGCUGUCUCGGAGAGAGGCUCGGCGAAAUAGGAUUGUCUGUGAAGAUACGGACUACCUGCAUUUGGACAGAAAGACCCUAUGAAGCUUUACUAUAGCUUGGAAUUGUGUUCGGGCUUCCUGUGCGCAGGAUAGGUGGGAGGCGAAGAAGGUAUUCUUGUGGGGAUACUGGAGCCAACGGUGAGAUACCACUCUCAGGAGGCUAGAAUUCUAACUUAAUUAAGGACAGUUUCAGGUGGGUAGUUUGACUGGGGCGGUCGCCUCCAAAAAGGUAACGGAGGCGUACAAAGGUUCCCUCAGACUGGUUGGAAAUCAGUCGCAGAGUGCAAAGGCAGAAGGGAGCUUGACUGCGAGAAGUACAGUUCGAGCAGGGUGGAAACACGGUCUUAGUGAUCCGACGGUGCUGUGUGGAAGGGCCGUCGCUCAACGGAUAAAAGUUACUCUAAGGAUAACAGGCUGAUCUCCCCCAAGAGUUCACAUCGACGGGGAGGUUUGGCACCUCGAUGUCGGCUCAUCGCAACCUGGGGCGGAAGUACGUCCCAAGGGUUGGGCUGUUCGCCCAUUAAAGCGGUACGUGAGCUGGGUUCAGAACGUCGUGAGACAGUUCGGUCCAUAUCCGAUGUAGGCGUGAGAAUAUUGAGAGGAGCCUUCCUUAGUACGAGAGGACCGGGAAGGACGCACCGCUGGUGUACCUGUUAUGAUGCCAAUUGUAAACGCAGGGUAGCCAAGUGCGGAGAGGAUAACCGCUGAAAGCAUCUAAGUGGGAAGCCCACCUCAAGAUGAGUAUUCUGGUGUAAGGUCACGGGAAGACGACCCGUAAAUAGGCACGAGGUGGAAGUGCAGAGAUGUAUGAAGCCGAAGUGUACUAAUAGACCGUCGGCUUGAC
rnacentral:rRNA from 1 species